GACGAACGCUGGCGGCGCGCCUAACACAUGCAAGUCGAACGAGCGAGAGAGAGCUUGCUUUCUCGAGCGAGUGGCGAACGGGUGAGUAACGCGUGAGGAACCUGCCUCAAAGAGGGGGACAACAGUUGGAAACGACUGCUAAUACCGCAUAAGCCCACGGGUCGGCACCGACCAGAGGGAAAAGGAGCAAUCCGCUUUGAGAUGGACUCGCGUCCGAUUAGCUAGUUGGUGAGGUAACGGCCCACCAAGGCGACGAUCGGUAGCCGGACUGAGAGGUUGAACGGCCACAUUGGGACUGAGACACGGCCCAGACUCCUACGGGAGGCAGCAGUGGGGAAUAUUGCACAAUGGGGGAAACCCUGAUGCAGCGACGCCGCGUGGAGGAAGAAGGUCUUCGGAUUGUAAACUCCUGUUGUUGAGGAAGAUAAUGACGGUACUCAACAAGGAAGUGACGGCUAACUACGUGCCAGCAGCCGCGGUAAAACGUAGGUCACAAGCGUUGUCCGGAAUUACUGGGUGUAAAGGGAGCGCAGGCGGGAAGACAAGUUGGAAGUGAAAUCCAUGGGCUCAACCCAUGAACUGCUUUCAAAACUGUUUUUCUUGAGUAGUGCAGAGGUAGGCGGAAUUCCCGGUGUAGCGGUGGAAUGCGUAGAUAUCGGGAGGAACACCAGUGGCGAAGGCGGCCUACUGGGCACCAACUGACGCUGAGGCUCGAAAGUGUGGGUAGCAAACAGGAUUAGAUACCCUGGUAGUCCACACCGUAAACGAUGAUUACUAGGUGUUGGAGGAUUGACCCCUUCAGUGCCGCAGUUAACACAAUAAGUAAUCCACCUGGGGAGUACGACCGCAAGGUUGAAACUCAAAGGAAUUGACGGGGGCCCGCACAAGCAGUGGAGUAUGUGGUUUAAUUCGACGCAACGCGAAGAACCUUACCAAGUCUUGACAUCCUGCGACGGUGCUGGAAACAGUACUUUCCUUCGGGACGCAGAGACAGGUGGUGCAUGGUUGUCGUCAGCUCGUGUCGUGAGAUGUUGGGUUAAGUCCCGCAACGAGCGCAACCCUUAUGGUCAGUUACUACGCAAGAGGACUCUGGCCAGACUGCCGUUGACAAAACGGAGGAAGGUGGGGAUGACGUCAAAUCAUCAUGCCCUUUAUGACUUGGGCUACACACGUACUACAAUGGCGUUAAACAAAGAGAAGCAAGACCGCGAGGUGGAGCAAAACUCAGAAACAACGUCCCAGUUCGGACUGCAGGCUGCAACUCGCCUGCACGAAGUCGGAAUUGCUAGUAAUCGUGGAUCAGCAUGCCACGGUGAAUACGUUCCCGGGCCU
rnacentral:rRNA from 1 species